AAGCUUGGCUCUGACUUAAUAGUAUAGCAGGAACUUAGAGAUACACAUGGUUUUUAUAGGAAGAGGCGAGGUAAAAAAUAGUAUAUUUAUAACAAAAAGUUGUGGAACAAUAUUUUUUGGGUAUUAUUAACUCUCAUGAUGCCUUGAAAAGUCCCGCUAACACCAGUGCUGAAGGUUAAGAAAAAAACGAAAGUUUGUCUUAACUUAGUUCAUAAGAUUUGGUCAAUUUGGUGCCAGCAUCCGCGGUUAUACCAAGAAAUCGAGUUAUGUUGUUUGGUAAAAAGACGGUUAGACUUUAAUUCUAUUAGUCUAUUAAUCAUUUAUAUAAAGGUAGAAUUUGAAUAUAAAUACAUAAACUAUACAUGACCUAUAAAGUUGAAUCCGUGAAAGCCUCGAGGGAAACUGGGAUUAGAUACCCCAUUAUUCUUGGCUAUAAAAUCAAAAAAAUUUACCGGAGUACUACGAACUUAAUAAAAUUUAAAACUCAAAGGGCUUGGCGGUGUUUUAGACCUCUCAGGGGAACCUGUCUCGUAAUCGACAAUCCACGAUAGACCUAACCCUGUUUUGCACUCAGUUUGUAUACCGUUGUCGUCAGGUAACUUUCAAAAAAAUAAGAAGUUAGCGAUUAAAAUGAACUAUAAAUUAAGACGUCAAAUCAAGGUGCAGCUCACAACAGGGGGAGGAUGGGUUACAAUUAUAAAUUCAUAAAAACGGAAAAUGCAUUGAAUAAUGUACUUGAAGGAGGACUUGAAAGUAAAAUAAAAUACAUAAACGGUUUGAAUAAGGCUCUGAAACGUGCACACAUCGCCCGUCACUCUCGUUGAAAAAUGAGAUAAGUCGUAACAUAGCAGGGGUAAUGGAAAUUGUUCCUAGAU
rnacentral:ncRNA from 1 species